rnacentral:lncRNA from 10 species
CUCGCCGGGUCGCUCGUGGGCUCUGCCGGCGCCGCGGCGUCCUGGCUCCCGCUGGGUGGGGCUUCCUGGGCGGAGGCCGCCGCCCCUGGGCGGUGCCGGAUCCAGUCCGCUUGACCUUAUUCCCUAGCUGCUGUCUCCGGCCCCCUGAACCCGUACAGGGUUGGGGAAGUGGGGGUGGCUGGAGGAAGCGCGCGCGGGGCAAGCCAGUGGGGCUGAGGAGGCUCCCGGGCCCGGCCCCGCCCAGUCUCCGCCCCAGCCAGGCCCGACCCGCCCUCCGAAUGUCUUACAGCUGCCCGCCCCAGAGUAAGGCCCGGUCGGUUCCCGCGCGCUCCCAGCUCCGUGCCCGCGAGCGACGACUGGAAGGGCUGUCCUUGCUCAGCGGCUUUUGGUGAUCUCUCCGCCCUAGAAGAGGGCCACCUAAAAGCGGGUGCGAGAGGAGAGUGGGAGGGCCUCCUCUUGGUGUCCCCAGGCCACCUCAGCCCGGAGAGGUGGCGGAAAACCAGACUUGAUGCUUUAACACGUUCAUAGCAAUCGCUUUUUACUGAAAGGAGUUUCUGUAUUUAGCGCUGUGUAAUUCUGUGGAAACGUGCAUUUCUUGUCUUUGCGGGAGAGCUGUUCUCUGUGGGCGGAGACCUUCAGUCCCACCCCUCCCCAGGAGGCGCCUGCGGACCCUUCCCAACCUGCAGUCAAGUUGACCAAGAACUGACUGCAAGGUGCUGGUGGCUCUGGGAUGAGAGCCUUUUGGUACUUACAGGGAAUAUGACUCUUCCCUUAGAUAUCAAAUGGACCCAAUAUCUAGGGAGCAGCUUCUUCUCCAUCCAUCUGACCGUUCCGUUGUGAGAAUGCUGGCCCAAUAACAUACUCUUUUUUUUUCCCCUAAAGGAAUAAAAAAAUCUGUAUUUUUAAGAUG